rnacentral:rRNA from 1 species
AACGAACGCUGGCGGCAGGCCUAACACAUGCAAGUCGAGCGCACCUUCGGGUGAGCGGCGGACGGGUUAGUAACGCGUGGGAACGUGCCCUUCUCUACGGAAUAGCCUCUGGAAACGGAGAGUAAUACCGUAUACGCCCUUUGGGGGAAAGAUUUAUCGGAGAAGGAUCGGCCCGCGUUAGAUUAGGUAGUUGGUGGGGUAACGGCCUACCAAGCCUACGAUCUAUAGCUGGUUUUAGAGGAUGAUCAGCAACACUGGGACUGAGACACGGCCCAGACUCCUACGGGAGGCAGCAGUGGGGAAUCUUAGACAAUGGGGGCAACCCUGAUCUAGCCAUGCCGCGUGAGUGAUGAAGGCCUUAGGGUCGUAAAGCUCUUUCGCCUGUGAUGAUAAUGACAGUAGCAGGUAAGGAAACCCCGGCUAACUCCGUG